ACUUCCCCAAAAAGUUUCAAAAUCGACAAUCACCUAAAUUUCUGCCUAAACGGCAACAAUUUGGGCGAACUAUUGCAGAUCACCAUCAUAAACUGAAUGAUUAUAGUAAAUAUAUAUCAGACUCAAAGUCUCGGAAUAUAGACGAGGAUGAACAGCCAUGUUCUUCAUGUGGUGGCAAGAAUAAGAAACCUCCCACAAAAACUGACAGCAAUAUAAUGACUAGGAAUAUUAAAUGUAAUUGCAAAGGAUAUCAACAUGAAUGUCUAUGCAGCCCGAGAAAAGCUCCACGCUCAUUAUACGAUACCUGGUAUUCAGUCUUCAACAUGAAUGCGCCC